rnacentral:rRNA from 1 species
UACGGGGGGAGCAAGCGUUGUUCGGAUUUACUGGGCGUAAAGGGCGCGUAGGCGGUCGACCAAGUCUGGGGUGAAAUCUUUCGGCUCAACCGGAAAAGUGCCCCCGAUACUGGCCGGCUAGAGGGAGAUAGGGGCAUGUGGAACUUCCGGUGGAGCGGUGAAAUGCGUAGAUAUCGGAAGGAACGCCGGUGGCGAAAGCGACGUGCUGGAUCUCUUCUGACGCUGAGGCGCGAAAGCCAGGGGAGCAAACGGG